CGAGUCUUUUCUAUAGGACUACUUGAUUGUUUGUAUUGCUUCUUUUCUGUUAUCACUGUGUAUCAAUGAAUUUGUAUUAUCAAAUGGAAAGGUAGUGGUUGGUGUGAGGGUGGGUCUCCCCAGAACAAGGUAUCUGAAUCCUAAAUCCAAAGUCAACACUUGGCUCUGAAUAAUUGGCUAACAGAAAAGAAGCAAUGCAAACUAUCAAGCAGAUUUUCUUCCUAGGUUUUUGUGUUUAACCCACAAAUGAUAGAAAUGUUAGCUUAUAGUUUGAUUUCUAAGGGAUCCAUUACUGAGGUGUGGGAGGCACAUUAUUGCAUACACUUUUUUUCUACGUAGGUAUCUAGUGGUAUCUGAAAUGUGAAGUAGGAAAAGGUCAAUGGAUGUUAUGAUAAAACCUGUUUUGGGAAACAAUAUUUUAAAAUAUGGUUUAAAGAUUCGGCGGUCUGACCUGAGGUGCCUUUUGCAAUGUAAGUUGCUUUCCCUGUUGGUUGGCUGUGCCUGUUUCAGGGUAACAUUUCACAUGGUGAGAGACAGAGAGAAAUUUAUCUGCUCAAAGUGGAAAUAUCAGGAAAGAAGUCUCCUUCCUAUUCCUCAAAUGAAUUCAACUCUAACAGGCCAUCCUCUACUAUCAAUGCAAAUUCUACUAGCAAAAUCUGUGUCUCAAAAUUAUCAAAUGCAAUAUAAAUGUGAGAAUUUACACAUUGGUCUAACUUACAUUAUCAGGUAAGUAAUGAGAGGUAUAUAUAUACUCAGCUGUCUGCUGUAUAUGAAUGAUGGGCAUAAAUUGUUAUUGCUUAUCUUUUGUAGUUGCAUUUGCAGGUGGAAUUUUGAGAGUCUGUAUUUUGCAGUACAGAAAAAAAAUGGAUCUGUUUUGAAAUUUGCCAAUAAAUUGAUUUUUUUCCCCUCUCA
rnacentral:lncRNA from 1 species